UACGAAGGGGGCGAGCGUUGUUCGGAUUUACUGGGCGUAAAGGGCGCGCAGGCGGCGCAUUUUGUCAGGCGUGAAAGCCCCGGGCUUAACCUGGGAACUGCGUUUGAUACGGAUGGGCUAGAGUUCGGGAGAGGAGAGUGGAAUUCCCAGUGUAGAGGUGAAAUUCGUAGAUAUUCGGAAGAACACCAGUGGCGAAGGCGGCUCACUGGACCGGCAUUGACGCUGAGGUGCGAAAGCGUGGGGAGCAAACAGG
rnacentral:rRNA from 1 species